UGGGGAAUUUUGGACGAAUUGGGCGAAAGGCCUGAUCCAGCAAUGCCGCGUGUGUGAAGAAGGCCUUCGGGUUGUAAAGCACUUUUGUCCGGAAAGAAAUCCUUGGCUCUAAUACAGUCGGGGGAUGACGGUACCGGAAGAAUAAGCACCGGCUAACUACGUGCCAGCAGCCGCGGUAAUACGUAGGGUGCAAGCGUUAAUCGGAAUUACUGGGCGUAAAGCGUGCGCAGGCGGUUUGCUAAGACCGAUGUGAAAUCCCCGGGCUCAACCUGGGAACUGCAUUGGUGACUGGCAGGCUAGAGUAUGGCAGAGGGGGGUAGAAUUCCACGUGUAGCAGUGAAAUGCGUAGAGAUGUGGAGGAAUACCGAUGGCGAAGGCAGCCCCCUGGCAAGUACUGACGCUCAUGCACG
rnacentral:rRNA from 1 species